CUUGACAGCCGCAUUACCAUCUCAUUUCCGGAUCUCAUCUGAUCUCGGAAACUAAGCAAGGUUGGGCUUCGUCAGUACUGGGAAAACCUCAAGGAAAUAUUUGGAUUGUAAAGU
rnacentral:rRNA from 1 species